AGGGGCGCGCCGGGGAAGGAGUGGAAAAGAGUAGGCUAGGAGGAGCGUUGAAAAUAUCGUGACAAGUCGUUUCCGUGCGCCCGAGAGCGUGUGAAUUGCGCCUAAUUACCGUGUCCGGCAUCAAAGAAGGAUCCUCUUGAAUGUAGGACGCACAUCCUUCUAUCCGUCCUUCUGGCCAGCCGGAGACAAGUCGCCACGGACUCCCAGGAGUAAUUUUAACUUUCACCUUCCACUCCGUACUGACGUCAUGGCCCUGAGGAACAGCUCGAUCUGCAGAGUAGGUAACAGGUUUUGGAUUUUGUUUCCCUUUUGAAUGGCAACAUCUGGAAUUAAUGCCGUGGUUUCCGGGCAGGAGCACCUUGGGUUUCUCUGUGACUGUGCCCUUUCUUUCUGUCUUUUCCUCAGUCCAAUGUUCUCUCUCAUUUUUACUCUCCAUUUUUCUCUUUCC